UCGGGGAUCGUCUAACGGUAGGACUACGGACUCUGGAUCCGCCGGUCUAGGUUCGAAUCCUAGUCCCCGAG
rnacentral:tRNA from 4 species